CCGGAAGAUGAACACAAAAUCCUGGACGGGAUGCGUCCGGGAAGAAUGGCACGUAUGGUCACCCUAUAUUAUGGAAGGAACCAGUUGGAGGCCAUUUUGCAAGCUGCUGAGGAGAUUUCAUUUGAAAUCAAUGCAGCACAAUGCAACUCCACUGACAAAGCAGAAGGAAUGUCAGAGGCGAUGGAUGCAGAAGAGCUGGAAGAACAGUCCUCAGAAACAACCACUACUGUAGCUAUUGUGAUGACUGCAGAUUAAGAUGGACGCCAUUUGUGCUGUGUCUGCCGUGUCCUUUUCGAUGACAGGAAGAAGAAUGCUUCGUGUUCAUGGUCACAGUGCACAGUGUGCCAAUCAUGGUCACACACUGCAUGUCAAGACACCAUGCAAACAGCCUGUAGCGCUGCAUCAGUGAUAGGAAACAUGCUAGUUACACAAGAUGUUUUAUGUUUUAACUUUGAGUUGUUUUUAUUUUGUUCAUGACCCCAUCCCUACAAACACACACACAUAUUUUUUUUAUUUUUAUGUAUUAGGUGCAAUUUAAUAUUUUUCAUGCAAAUGUAAUUUGAUAUCGAAAAGUUGGUUUAUGUCAGAGCAGUAGUGAUACUUGUGGAUACUUUGAUAUACAACUGAACAGUACAAUUUAAAUAUAAUGGUUGCUAUGAACGAUGAUGAUGUUGUGUAUCUGCUUUAUCAAAGUGAUUUUCGUCCAUCAUACAGAUGAAGUUGAAGCAAAUCUCUAUUACCAAAUUUAAUGUUAUGAAAAGAACCAUCAUGACAGAAAUAUAUAUUAAUAUAUGAAUUGAAAGUAAUACAAAAAAAAUGAGACCAGAAACCCAUCAUGAGUUAAAAAACUGGCUAUGCUCAGUUGUAAGGACUUUUUUGAAAUGAUUAAUUUCACAUUAUGUGUCAUUUUGUGUUUUAAAUUAAAGUGACAACACAAGUUACAAAAUUUGGUGUUCCAAUAAUAAAACUGAUUGUGUUGUUUUAACACAUCUGUUUUUAAAUUGUAUUUAUUACUCUACAGUAUGCUGUAGCAUUCAUUAACAAAGUUUUAAAUAAUAUAAACUGUACACUUUACUAUAGUAUGGGUAUUUACUAUAAAUUACUUUAGUACUUUUUAUGUGGGCAGAAUUUUUAUGACUGGACUGACACACCUGAUCCACAUACAUUCACGGUAUAGUUUGCAUACUGCUCAGGCCUGUCUUUCUGCUUAGAAAGAAGGAACAUGAAACAAUACAUAGGCUUCCUAAACUGUAUUUGGCACACAUAGCUGAACUCUUUCUCAAAGUGACAGGUUUGGAAGGAGGGGAAUGGUGCUCUAAUGGAUAAACAAAAUAGGCCUGUUUGCCAUUUUUAGUUGAGCUCAAAAGAAAACAUUUAAACAAAAAUAAAUAGGCUACAAAAGAUGCAAGAGAGCAUACAUUAUGUACAUUAUGUAGCAAACAUUGUGUAUAAUGUUUGUUAAUCUGGGUUUUGACAACCAAUAGGCCUAAUAAUCAUUUACUAGCCUACAAUCGGAGAUGGCUACCCAUCAGACUAUGGUCUUAUUUAUUAAUGGGAUGUUUUUAAUUUAAUUAUCAUAGCAGCAUUAACAUAUGCAUAUAAGCCCAAACAGAAAUGCACAGUUUGUGUGUGUGGCCAACACCAGGUAUUCAUCAAGGUGUGGGGUCUGUUUACACAGCCAGAAACAAACAAACAGCUUUAUUUUAUCUAACUCUAACCUUAUUGAGCCUUCAAAGUGCUCUCUGACACUACACCUGAGAUGGCUUGUGUACUUGAAAUUAGAACAUGAAAAGUUUGUUGUAGAGCUAAGCCAAAUACAUAGUUAGAAAGGUCUUGACCUGCAGAAUAACAUAUGUCAGUAUAAAGAAUCUACAUGGCUCCUGCUUUGAAAUACGGACCUUUGAAACAUCACCUUGGUGCAUUUUUGAAGGCUUAUAAUUAGGCAAAAAAAGGGGCUAUAGACAUGGGACAAACUCUUAAUGAGAGCUCUUGGCCUCAGUUAUAAUGUCAAUAUACAGACGUGAACUUUGUCUGUUGCUUUAAGGACAAUUUCUUUAAUGUUAUGUGUGUUUGUGCAUAAUUGCGAAGUAAGUGGAUCUUAUUUGACUUCGGUAAUGACCAAACCUGUGUUCUGUUUGACUUCUCUUUCUUAUAUUUGCCAUCAUAACGUGAAUUGGUUUAUAAGCUUAAUAAUUAAUAUUUAAACGGUUUAACGUGGUAAAUUAAUUCUGUUACGCUUAUAUUUCAAGUAUGUCAUUGUCAUUUCUAUAUUUAUGUCAUUAGUGUAAUUAUAUUGUUAAACGUCUGAAUUUAAAGUGUUUUAUGUGUAAGAGUAAACAAACUCAUGCGCAUAUGCGUGUUACAUGCCAGACAGCGCACCGUUGUUAAACCACCUGCUAGCCUUUGCAAAAGUGUAUAAUGUCACUGUUCAGUGUUUAAUAUUUAAACUAUAGCAAUGCAUAUGACAUACAGUAACCAGCUUUGUUAGAUUAAUGUUAUGAAUGCAAUGUUAAUUGUUAAUCUUUAAUUAUUAAUUUUAUUUGCAAGUUAAUUGUUAUUAUCCACAAACCUUUGUUUGUGUCAGAUUUAGCUCAUCUCAAAUAAGCCUGUUAACUUUUGUUAUGCUAUUUACGUAAGGGAUAAUAUAUAGUGAGACGGUUGUUAUAGCGAAUGUUAGGUACUAUUAACCUUGUUUGUGGUGUUUUAGAUAUUAUUGUUAAUUUUGUUUAUUUGAAAAAUUUUAACAUUUAAGUGUUAUAUUUAUUAUUUUAUAUAAUAUUUUAUUUAAAUGUUAUUCUAUUUACUCUAUUUCAUUUAAAUUAUACAUAGGCUGUUGUUUGUGCC